GGGACUGUGGCUUAGUGGUAGAGUAUUUGCCUAGUAUGCAUGAAGCUCUGGGUUCAAUUCCUCAAUACCA
rnacentral:tRNA from 1 species